rnacentral:rRNA from 1 species
AGAGUUUGAUCCUGGCUCAGGAUGAACGCUGGCGGCGUGCCUAACACAUGCAAGUCGAGCGAUUUACUUCGGCAAAGAGCGGCGGACGGGUGAGUAACGCGUGGGUAACCUGCCCUGUACACACGGAUAACAUACCGAAAGGUAUGCUAAUACGAGAUAAUAUACUUUUAUCGCAUGGUAGAAGUAUCAAAGCUUUUGCGGUACAGGAUGGACCCGCGUCUGAUUAGCUAGUUGGUAAGGUGACGGCUUACCAAGGCGACGAUCAGUAGCCGACCUGAGAGGGUGAUCGGCCACAUUGGAACUGAGACACGGUCCAAACUCCUACGGGAGGCAGCAGUGGGGAAUAUUGCACAAUGGGCGAAAGCCUGAUGCAGCAACGCCGCGUGAGCGAUGAAGGCCUUCGGGUCGUAAAGCUCUGUCCUCAAGGAAGAUAAUGACGGUACUUGAGGAGGAAGCCCCGGCUAACUACGUGCCAGCAGCCGCGGUAAUACGUAGGGGGCUAGUGUUAUCCGGAAUUACUAGGCGUAAAGGGUGCGUAGGUGGUUCCUUAAGUCAGAGGUGAAAGGCUACGGCUCAACCGUAGUAAGCCUUUGAAACUGGGAAACUUGAGUGCAGGAGAGGAGAGUGGAAUUCCUAGUGUAGCGGUGAAAUGCGUAGAUAUUAGGAGGAACACCAGUUGCGGAGGCGGCUCUCCGGACUGUAACUGACGCUGAGGCUCGAAAGCGUGGGGAGCGAACAGGAUUAGAUACCCUGGUAGUCCACGCCGUAAACGAUGAAUGCUAGGUGUAGGAGGUAUCGACCCCUUCUGUGCCGGAGUUAACGCAAUAAGCAUUCCGCCUGGGGAGUACGGCCGCAAGGCUGAAACUCAAAGGAAUUGACGGGGGCCCGCACAAGCGGUGGAGUAUGUGGUUUAAUUCGACGCAACGCGAAGAACCUUACCAGGGCUUGACAUUGAGUGAAAGGACAAGAGAUUGUCCCCUCUCUUCGGAGACACGAAAACAGGUGGUGCAUGGCUGUCGUCAGCUCGUGUCGUGAGAUGUUGGGUUAAGUCCCGCAACGAGCGCAACCCUUAUCCUUUGUUGCCAGCACGUUAUGGUGGGAACUCAAAGGAGACUGCCGCGGACAACGCGGAGGAAGGCGGGGAUGACGUCAAGUCAUCAUGCCCCUUAUGUCCUGGGCUACACACGUACUACAAUGGGAUGGACAGAGAGCAGCGAAGCCGCGAGGCCAAGCGAACCCCAUAAACCAUCUCCCAGUUCGGAUUGCAGGCUGCAACCCGCCUGCAUGAAGUUGGAAUCGCUAGUAAUCGCAGGUCAGCAUACUGCGGUGAAUACGUUCCCGGGCCUUGUACACACCGCCCGUCACACCACGGAAGUCAUUCACACCCGAAGCCGGCAGGCUAACCUUUUGGAGGCAGCCGUCUAAGGUGGGGGCGAUGACUGGGGUGAAGUCGUAACAAGGUA